UACAGAGGUCUCAAGCGUUGUUCGGAAUCACUGGGCGUAAAGGGUGCGCAGGCGGCCGUGUGUGUGAGGCGUGAAAGCCCGAUGCUUAACAUCGGAAUUGCACCUCAAACUACACGGCUAGAGCAUUGGAGAGGGUAGCGGAAUUCACGGUGUAGCAGUGAAAUGCGUAGAUAUCGUGAGGAACACCAGAGGCGAAGGCGGCUACCUGGACAAUUGCUGACGCUCAGGCACGAAAGCGUGGGGAGCAAAAGGG
rnacentral:rRNA from 1 species